AUGAAGCCCUCUUCACUGGAAAGCCUAAUGCUGCCAUCAAAGGUUUUGAAGCAGGGACUUGAGGGCAACAUUUCUGCCGCUCAAGUCAAAAGAAAGCGGGAGAACCUAAAACAAAAAUAUAAAACCUGGGAUAUCCAACAAAGAUAUGGAGGAACUUCCCCUUGUGGUCAGUGAUGGCCUGCAGCUGAACAGAGUGGAACAGCUUCCUAUUACAAUAGCAUGGGGCAUCACUUGCUGGUGACUUGAUCCGGAUGUGGCAUCAGCCUCCUCAAAAUACUGAUGACUGCCCUGCUGGUUCUGUGCACAAU